rnacentral:lncRNA from 1 species
UUUUUUCAUAGUCCAAUACAAUGAAAAGGUUCUUGGCUUUAUAGCCGAAUGAUUACAAUCUUUUUUUGUUUUUGUUUUUUUGUUCUUCUGCCGUGUUUGUUGCUUGUCGUUUUUGCAGGUACGGAGGUGACGUGGCGUGCACGAAGGCGAGAGGUGCUGGAGGCCAUUCCUGUUGGCUGCGGCGCAAAGGGGAAACCUUAGGGUUUCUGUGAAUGUUGAGAAUGUGUUGGUUUUGG